rnacentral:rRNA from 1 species
AGUGAACGCUGGCGGCGUGCCUAAUACAUGCAAGUCGAACGGAAUUUAAGAGAGCUUGCUCUUUUAAAUUUAGUGGCGCACGGGUGAGUAAUAUAUAGCUAAUCUGCCCCUUGCUGGAGGACAACAGUUAGAAAUGACUGCUAAUACUCCAUACUCCUUUUUACCAUAAGAUAAAUCGGGAAAGAAUUUCGGCAAGGGAUGAGACUAUAUCGUAUCAGCUAGUCGGUGGGGUAACGGCCUACCGAGGCUAUGACGCGUAACUGGUCUGAGAGGAUGAUCAGUCACAUUGGAACUGAGACACGGUCCAAACUCCUACGGGAGGCAGCAGUAGGGAAUAUUGCGCAAUGGGGGAAACCCUGACGCAGCAACGCCGCGUGGAGGAUGACACUUUUCGGAGCGUAAACUCCUUUUGUUAGGGAAG